rnacentral:misc_RNA from 1 species
GUAGGUGAACCUUCGGAAGGAUCAUUACCGUAACGCGGCGGUCCGGCAACCGCAAGGAAGUCGGCCGCCACACGCGUUUAUCACCCUUGACUUUGAGCACCUUUCGUUUCCUCGGCGGGUUCGCCCGCCAGCGAGGACCCCCCAAACCCUUUGUAAUAGCAAUAUUUGUCUGAAAAACAACCAAUAAUCAAAACUUUCAACAAUGGAUCUCUUGGUUCUG